rnacentral:rRNA from 1 species
UACGUAGGGACCAAGCGUUGUCCGGAAUUACUGGGCGUAAAGCGUGCGCAGGCGGUUCGUCGUGUCCGAUGUGAAAGCCCCGGGCUCAACCUGGGAAUGGCAUUGGAAACUGGCGGACUCGAGUGUGGCAGAGGGGGGUGGAAUUCCGCGUGUAGCAGUGAAAUGCGUAGAGAUGCGGAGGAACACCGAUGGCGAAGGCAGCCCCCUGGGCUAACACUGACGCUCAGGCACGAAAGCGUGGGGAGCAAACAGG